GUUGAACGCUGGCGGCGUGCCUAAUACAUGCAAGUCGAGCGAACGGACGAGAAGCUUGCUUCUCUGAUGUUAGCGGCGGACGGGUGAGUAACACGUGGAUAACCUACCUAUAAGACUGGGAUAACUUCGGGAAACCGGAGCUAAUACCGGAUAAUAUUUUGAACCGCAUGGUUCAAAAGUGAAAGACGGUCUUGCUGUCACUUAUAGAUGGAUCCGCGCUGCAUUAGCUAGUUGGUAAGGUAACGGCUUACCAAGGCAACGAUGCAUAGCCGACCUGAGAGGGUGAUCGGCCACACUGGAACUGAGACACGGUCCAGACUCCUACGGGAGGCAGCAGUAGGGAAUCUUCCGCAAUGAGCGAAAGCCUGACGGAGCAACGCCGCGUGAGUGAUGAAGGUCUUCGGAUCGUAAAACUCUGUUAUUAGGGAAGAACAUAUGUGUAAGUAACUGUGCACAUCUUGACGGUACCUAAUCAGAAAGCCACGGCUAACUACGUG
rnacentral:rRNA from 1 species